rnacentral:rRNA from 1 species
UGGGGAAUAUUGGACAAUGGGCGAAAGCCUGAUCCAGCCAUGCCGCGUGUGUGAAGAAGGUCUUCGGAUUGUAAAGCACUUUAAGUUGGGAGGAAGGGCAUUAACCUAAUACGUUAGUGUUUUGACGUUACCGACAGAAUAAGCACCGGCUACUCUGUGCCAGCAGCCGCGGUAAUACAGAGGGUGCAAGCGUUAAUCGGAAUUACUGGGCGUAAAGCGCGCGUAGGUGGUUUGUUAAGUUGGAUGUGAAAUCCCCGGGCUCAACCUGGGAACUGCAUUCAAAACUGACUGACUAGAGUAUGGUAGAGGGUGGUGGAAUUUCCUGUGUAGCGGUGAAAUGCGUAGAUAUAGGAAGGAACACCAGUGGCGAAGGCGACCACCUGGACUAAUACUGACACUGAGGUGCGAAAGCGUGGGGAGCAAACA